ensembl:lncRNA
CUGAGUUGUCGUGCUUCGCCCGUUCGGCGCCUGUUCACCGCUUGAAGACGGGAAGGGGGGGGACGCCGACAACACUUGACGAGAAGGACCUCUGCUGGAUGCGUCUCGACACUGCCAAACUCGCCCGUUUCCUCCGAAAGGGGAAGCUACACUGCAGACCGGCAUCGCAGGCUGAUUCCACCAGCGAAGCAUCAAAACUUCGAAGCCGAAGGCUCUGCAUCCACAACAAACAGAGUCGAGUGCAGGAAACACAGAACCUGUCGUCUGCAGUCAGUGAAGCUCCGGUCCAGACUCCUGCACGAGGCCUCCUGCAGUAGCUUUGCUUACAGUGCCCCCUUCUGUCAUAUGAUACAACCAUAUAUACACAUUGACUCAUAUGCAUAUGUAUGUACACAGCACCAGUCAGUCAGGUGGGACACAUCUUCUCAUUGUGUCUCUCGACUGGUACUCUACAUCAUUUUUCUCUCUUCAAGUAUCUCAAUCGGUAUUUUGCAGGUUUUCACCUGACCUGACUAAAGUUGUGAGUGGCGCUUCGUUG